rnacentral:rRNA from 1 species
AAUCAACGCUGGCGGCGUGCCUCAGACAUGCAAGUCGAACGCGAAAGUCCCCUUCGGGGACGAAGUAGAGUGGCGCACGGGUGAGUAACACGUAGGUAAUCUACCUUCGGAUGGGGAAGUAACAAUCGGAAACGGUUGCUAAUACCGCAUAAUGCAGCGGCACCUAAUGGUGACAGUUGUUAAAGCGGGGGAGUCGAAAGACCUCGCGUCUGAAGAGGAGCCUGCGGCGGAUUAGCAGUUGGUAAGGUAAUGGCUUACCAAGGCGACGAUCCGU